UGUCCCAGUGCCUGAAGUUCAGGCCUCUCACGCAGCGUAGGAGAAAGAUGUCCGCUUUUUACUUCCGGAGAAGUAAACUUUAAAGAGGAUGUCCCUGCCUUGAGUCCCCAGGCCUCUCACGUGAAGAAGAAUCCCUCAUACACAGAGCACAGGAUGCCUGUGUUUUCCCUCCCCACCGUCCUUUCCUGGCUGGUCUCGGCUCCCGGUUUACCGGGAGUUCUUCAGACCUCCGUGUGUGGCGUCAGGGAGCGCGCACAGAGCUGUUAAUGCAGAACAAAAUGGCCGCCUCUUAGGGUUUGUGGAGCCUGAUGAGGGAAUUACUGCCAGUUUAUACUCUGGGCCCUCACACAUGUCUUUCGUUCCGACAGCUCCAGUGGUUUUUAUUCCAACUGAUCUGCAACCCAUCCCGAAAUUGUUUCAGUAAGGCUCGCUCGGUCGUUCUGUCGGCAACAUUGCAAACUGCACGCCUGGGGGUGAGUGGAAGGGCUGCUCUGGUCUUUGAACUGGAAUGGAAGCCGGCUGUCACCUUGAGCCUCAACUCCCUUGUUUAUGCAGCUCUGUCAGAACUUUCCACCAGGACUCAGACCCCAUCCCUGGCCAUCCAGUCAUGGUAGGGAGGGCAGUGGGAUAUUAUUCAGCUAGAAGAAGGGAUGGAAUUCUGACACGUGCUGCAACAUGGAUGAACCUUGAAGACAGUGUGAUAAGUGAAGAAGAGCCGACACAAAGACUAUAUAUUGUAUGAUUCUACUUGGAGGAGAGAUCCAGAACAGGCAACUUCUGUAGAUACAGAAAAUGGAUCACGGUUGCCAGGACUGACGAUGCGGGAAGGGGAAUGACUGCUAAUGAGUACAGGGUUUCUUUUUGGGCUGAUGAAAGUGUUCUGGUUUCACAACCUUGAGAAUAUGUUAAAAACCACUGAGUAUGCACUUUAAAAUGGUGAAUCUUAUAGUAUGUGAAUUACAUCUCAAUAAAAUGGUAUCUACUUUAAAGGUAAAAAAGCGCUAAUAAAUAUUCCAGUUUUUCCAA